GCCCAGCUUGCUGGGUUGGAUGAGUGGCGAACGGGUGAGUAACAUGUGAGUAACCUGCCCCCUUCUUUGGGAUAACGGUCGGAAACGGCUGCUAAUACCGGGUAUUCACUGUCCUUCGCAUGGGGGGUGGUGGAAAGGUUUUUUCUGGUGGGGGAUGGGCUCGCGGCCUAUCAGCUUGUUGGUGGGGUGAUGGCUUACCAAGGCUUUGACGGGUAACCGGCCUGAGAGGGUGACCGGUCACAUUGGGACUGAGAUACGGCCCAGACUCCUACGGGAGGCAGCAGUGGGGAAUAUUGCACAAUGGGCGAAAGCCUGAUGCAGCGACGCCGCGUGAGGGAUGACGGCCUUCGGGUUGUAAACCUCUUUCGCUCAUGGUCAAGCCGCAACAGUGGUUGUGGUGAGGGUAGUGGGUAAAGAAGCACCGGCUAACUACGUGCCAGCAGCCGCGGUAAUACGUAGGGUGCGAGCGUUGUCCGGAAUUAUUGGGCGUAAAGGGCUUGUAGGCGGUUUGUCGCGUCUGCCGUGAA
rnacentral:rRNA from 1 species